GGAGGGAGCAAGCGUUGUUCGGAUUUACUGGGCGUAAAGGGCGUGUAGGCGGCCUUGCAAGUCGGGCGUGAAAUCCUCUGGCUCAACCAGAGAACUGCACCCGAAACUGCUAGGCUUGAGUAUAGGAGAGGAAAGCGGAAUUCCUGGUGUAGCGGUGAAAUGCGUAGAUAUCAGGAAGAACACCAGUGGCGAAGGCGGCUUUCUGGCCUACUACUGACGCUGAGGCGCGAAAGCCGGGGGAGCGAACAGGAUUAGAUACCCUGGUAGUCCCGGCCGUAAACGUUGGGCACUAGGUGUAGGGGGUAUCGACCCCCUCUGUGCCCGAAGCUAACGCAUUAAGUGCCCCGCCUGGGGGAGUACGACCGCAAGGUUG
rnacentral:rRNA from 1 species